rnacentral:rRNA from 1 species
CCUACGGGAGGCAGCAGUGAGGAAUAUUGGUCAAUGGGCGCAAGCCUGAACCAGCCAUGCCGCGUGCAGGAUGACUGCCCUAUGGGUUGUAAACUGCUUUUAUACAGGAAGAAACAGUCCCUCGUGAGGGGCCUUGACGGUACUGUAAGAAUAAGCACCGGCUAACUCCGUGCCAGCGGCCGCGGUAAUACGGAGGGUGCAAGCGUUAUCCGGAAUCAUUGGGUUUAAAGGGUCCGCAGGCGGUCAAUUAAGUCAGAGGUGAAAUCCUACAGCUUAACUGUAGAACUGCCUUUGAUACUGGUUGACUUGAGUUAUACGGAAGUAGGUAGAAUGUGUAGUGUAGCGGUGAAAUGCAUAGAUAUUACACAGAAUACCGAUCGCGAAGGCAGCCUACUACGUAUAUACUGACGCUCAUGGACGAAAGCGUGGGGAGCGAACAGGAUUAGAUACCCUGGUAGUCCACGCCGUAAACGAUGGACACUAGUUGUUGGGCGUAAGUUCAGUGACUAAGCGAAAGUGAUAAGUGUCCCACCUGGGGAGUACGAUCGCAAGAUUGAAACUCAAAGGAAUUGACGG